UUUGAUCAUGGCUCAGGACGAACGCUGGCGGCGUGCUUAACACAUGCAAGUCGAACGAUGAAGCGGUGCUUGCACCGUGGAUUAGUGGCGAACGGGUGAGUAAUACGUGAGUGACCUACCUUUGACUCUGGGAUAAGCCUGGGAAACUGGGUCUAAUACCGGAUACGACCAAUCUCUGCAUGGGGUGUUGGUGGAAAGCGUUAUGGAGUGGUUUUAGAUGGGCUCACGGCCUAUCAGCUUGUUGGUGAGGUAAUGGCUUACCAAGGCGACGACGGGUAGCCGGCCUGAGAGGGUGACCGGCCACACUGGGACUGAGACACGGCCCAGACUCCUACGGGAGGCAGCAGUGGGGAAUAUUGCACAAUGGGCGCAAGCCUGAUGCAGCGACGCCGCGUGAGGGAUGACGGCCUUCGGGUUGUAAACCUCUGUUAGCAUCGAAGAAGCGAAAGUGACGGUAGGUGCAGAGAAAGCGCCGGCUAACUACGUGCCAGCAGCCGCGGUAAUACGUAGGGCGCGAGCGUUGUCCGGAAUUAUUGGGCGUAAAGAGCUUGUAGGCGGUUGGUCGCGUCUGCUGUGAAAGGCCGGGGCUUAACUCCGGUUUUGCAGUGGGUACGGGCUAACUAGAGUGCAGUAGGGGAGACUGGAAUUCCUGGUGUAGCGGUGGAAUGCACAGAUAUCAGGAGGAACACCGAUGGCGAAGGCAGGUCUCUGGGCUGUAACUGACGCUGAGAAGCGAAAGCAUGGGGAGCGAACAGGAUUAGAUACCCUGGUAGUCCAUGCCGUAAACGUUGGGCACUAGGUGUGGGGGACAUUCCACGUUUUCCGCGCCGUAGCUAACGCAUUAAGUGCCCCGCCUGGGGGAGUACGGCCGCAAGGCUAAAACUCAAAGGAAUUGACGGGGGCCCGCACAAGCGGCGGAGCAUGCGGAUUAAUUCGAUGCAACGCGAAGAACCUUACCAAGGCUUGACAUGCAUUAGAUCGCGUCAGAGAUGGCGUUUCCCUUCGGGGCUGGUGUACAGGUGGUGCAUGGUUGUCGUCAGCUCGUGUCGUGAGAUGUUGGGUUAAGUCCCGCAACGAGCGCAACCCUCGUUCUAUGUUACCAGCGGUUCGGCCGGGGACUCAUAGGAGACUGCCGGGGUCAACUCGGAGGAAGGUGGGGAUGACGUCAAAUCAUCAUGCCCCUUAUGUCUUGGGCUUCACGCAUGCUACAAUGGCCGGUACAGAGGGUUGCGAUACUGUGAGGUGGAGCUAAUCCCUUAAAGCCGGUCUCAGUUCGGAUUGGGGUCUGCAACUCGACCCCAUGAAGUCGGAGUCGCUAGUAAUCGCAGAUCAGCAACGCUGCGGUGAAUACGUUCCCGGGCCUUGCACACACCGCCCGUC
rnacentral:rRNA from 1 species